UGGUCCCACCUGACCCCAUGCCGAACUCAGAAGUGAAACGCCGUAGCGCCGAUGGUAGUGUGGGGUUUCCCCAUGCGAGAGUAGGGAACUGCCAGGC
rnacentral:rRNA from 2 species